ensembl:misc_RNA Metazoa_SRP Metazoan signal recognition particle RNA
GCCAGGGAUGGUGGCGCAUGCCUGUAAUCCCAGCUACUCAGGAGGCUGAGGCAGGAGAAUUGCUUGAACCCAGGAGACGGAGGUUGCAGUGAGCUGACAUCAUGCCACUGCACUCCAGCCUGAGCAACAGAGCAAGAUUCUGUCUCAA